GUUAGAUAUUGAAAAUGGCAGUCCGGCUCCGCGCUUCAUUUUGAUUGGUCAGACGAGGCGUUAUUUGCAGAGAGCCAUAGAGUAUUAGACCAAGGAAAGAAAGGACAGAGAGAAAGAUGGCAGUAAUUGUUAUAUCCUCACAUUUCUCUCUGGAAAUGGGGCUAUUGGGGCACUUUCUGAGGGCUGCCGCCGACUCGCUGCAGGACGCGGAAUGUGAUCAAGUUCAGAGUCUCCCCGAGAGCUUCGAGCGGCGCUUUGUGACUCCAAGACUUCCCCAUGCCCACCAUGCCCCCAGUGUGUGUCGGGAGGGAACCCUCUUUCUUUAUUUUAGAGCUUUACAAGAAAGAAAGAAAGAAAAAAAAGGAAAAAAGAACUCUUCAAAAUGAGCCUCUCACUCCACAUUCAUCCUCCAUCCAUUCUGCAUUCAUUCCCACAGCACAUUCUGCGAGAUUAAUGUGAAUAAAACAUUAAGGUGAGUUCAUUGUCGUGCUUGUAUCAUUUACAAUGUUGUAAUGUCCCUUAUUUUUUGUAAAAUCAAUUACGAUAGCCAGUGUUUCUAUGGAAGGGAUGGGACGGUGGUUGAGUGAUUGCAUCUGUUGGUUACUUUGCCGCCUACAAAUGCAUGUUGUGCGCGAGACCCUUCAGAUCUUCGUGCAAGUUUGUUGUGGACGGUAUCGUGAGGGUCAAAACACACCCGGUCGAUGAAUCCGUCUUGCAGAAUCACCGACUUUUAGUGUGAUGUAAUUUUAAAAAAAAUGUGUAUUUUGUCUUAAAAACAGCAUUUGUCGAUGAAUUGAGUUUUUAAAAUGGGCUUUUGUUUAAGUUCUCGACUCUUUAAAACACGACGACGUAAAAAAGG